rnacentral:rRNA from 1 species
UGAAAUCUCACCAGGCCCGGACACUGGAAGGAUUGACAGAUUUAUGGCUUAAUUUGACUCAACGCGGGAAAUCUCACCAGGCCCGGACACUGGAAGGAUUGACAGAUUGAUACCUCUUUCUUGAUUCUGUGGGUGGUGGUGCAUGGCCGUUCUUAGUUGGUGGAGUGAUUUGUCUGGUUAAUUCCGAUAACGAAUGAGACUCUGUCCUGCUAAAUAGUGUCUGCUUCUCUUUUGAGCAGACAAUUCUUCUUAGAGGGACAGGCGACUCUUGAGCAAUAA